rnacentral:lncRNA from 10 species
AACACCACUUCCUCAGAGAGGCCUGCCCUGACCACUUCAUGAAAUGGCUUAUUGCUGCUGCAUCAGAUGGGCUGCCUGAACAGUUCAGGACUUCCUUUCAUCGGACCCAGCCAGUGCCUUGCACAGAACCCAUUCCCAAGAAGAUUUGCAGUGUGAAAAUGGACCAUACUGUGGAAUAAGAGAGCAGAAAGUCAUCUAAUCUACUCCCCAGGCUUUAGGCAGCACGGUGUCAAAACCAACCUAGAUUUCCAGAAUAGAUCGUUCUACCACCUCCUCUGGAAUUUGAAUGCCAUCGAAUGCAACCUGAGUCUAUUUUCUUUUAUUCUAUGUUGACUGAGGACAACUAUUUUCUUGUUUAAAAAAAAACCAAAACAUUAAAAUAGCAUUUUAAGGUUAAUUGACAAUGUUAAUAAGUGGCAAACUUAGGCCUCAAAUAGAAGAUGAUAAGUAACUUGAAAUGUUUGGAAAAAGAUGAUCUAUAUUUAAUAAAACUCCAUCAGUGAGUGAAAAGUUUCAUUAUUAGCAUUUUCACUGUUCUGUCUCUCAUAGUCUACAGUUAUAUUAGCAAACUUGCAUUUCACUUUAUGGAAACUUGUCUCCAUUAUGAUUUAGUUCAAUGGUUUCCUUCUCAUACUAUUUCAGCUAGAGAGUCAUUUCAUUAUGCUGGGAAGUUUCUGAACAUGUAAUGUAAUUAAUUCCUUUAAUAGACUCCUCUUUAUGGAAGACCCAUUAGUAGACAUCACUGUGAAUUAACAUCUUAGUCCAGGAAAAAAGCUCUUUGGAGGCAACAGUGAAACAGCUAAAUCUUUGUUGAGAGAUGCGACCAGAGGAUUUAACCGCAUUCCUUGUGGUUUCAGAAUGACAUGCAUAUUCUGGGACCCACAGAUAGGGAGAGAUACUUGUCAUUCUCAGUAAUGCCCUGACCACACCAAUUCUUUAACAUACAGAGAUAGUUCUAAAUGUUAUAAUUUCUUAGAAGAAAACAUCAUGGGGUUGUGCACAUUGAAGGCAGGGGAAUGAAGUGAAAAUCUGCCCACUGGCUAAUGCCUAUGAAGUAAGGCUACUGGCUUUCUUUUAACUGACAAGUUAAAAGUACACUUGAAGGCUUCUGGACAACUUCCUUCUAUAUCAACCUACUAAGGAUUGGUCUUCCCUCUGAAUCUCGAUGAAUAGCAAUGAACUCUUUCUGUGUGGGUCUGAAUAUUUUCUUAUAUUAUUUUUACAUAUGAUCACUGGAAGCCGAUUGUUCUGAGUUCAAAAUUCUGACUUUGCUAUGUACUAACUGUGUGACCUUCAUCAAGUGAUUUAACUUCUCUGUAUCUUAGAUAUCUUAUCAGAAAUUGAGAUAAAAGCAGUACCUGCUUCAGUUGGUGAAGAGGAUUAAAUGAAUGAGCACAUGUAGGUGCUUAAUGGAGUGUCUGGCCUGGAGUAAGUGCCACUGAUGUUGACUGGUAUUGUGAUUAACUCUGCUGAGUGGAGGUCCCACCACGGGCAUGCAGGCCUGUAACACGAAAGCUGAAAAACUCUGACAAAGCAGAGGAGUUGGUGCCUGGGCCUGGGGAGGGUGGGCUGGCGGCAAAGGGACACAAGGGAACUUCUGGGGUGACAGAAAUACUCUAUAUAGUGGUUACCCCAGUGUAAGUUAAAAAACAUUCAAACAAUUGUUUCCCUGAUUAUCCCAUUUAAUAUACUAGUCCAGGCUCUAAUCGCCUUACAUCUGUAUUAAUGCAAUAGUCUCCUGGUUGAUUUUUCUGUCCCUGAGCUCUUUCUUUUUUAAUUCCUCCUUGGCGUACCCAUGCUCACUCCCAUUUCUGGGGCUACUUCAAUAAUCAUGCCUAGAACAGUAUAUGAGCCAUUUGUUUAAAAGGGAGGGAAAGAAAUAAAUGUGCGUAAGCAAGUAUGUUUGCUUGUUUAUGCCUAAAAUAGCUCUGGAAAGACAUAUGAGAAAGCGUUUAUGUUAGUUCCCUAUGGGGAAGGAAACUGGAUGGCUGAGGGACU